UGACGGCCGAGGCCCGGUCCGCGCUCGCGACGUCGCCGGUCGUCGAGGUGCCGACGGAGGUCGCCGCCUGGACGUUCGAGGCGCCGGCCAUCACC
rnacentral:tRNA from 1 species